GUGCCCCUCCCAAUUUCCAUCGAACCCCUCUCGAACCUCAAUCUCAUCCUACGAGACAAGCCAUCACCGUCAUUUCAUCGUGCCCUGUUCUCGUAUCCUGUUGUCUUUGUUCGGAAUUGCUGCAAGCGAUUGAGAUCUGUUGCGAACCACCAACACAUCUUAUCACCUCUAAUGGCAGCCCUGUUCACCGGCUUAUAGAACAUAUAGUUGACUAUUGGUUGGCUGUGCUUAAAUCGAAUUGAAAUGGACCCCAAAUUUGAUAUGACAAUAUCACGGGAUAUCUAUGAACAUGCUGUUGUGCUUAGUGUAGAGAUAGAAGAUUAAGAUGCAUUUGAGAGAUAUUUCUUUCAGCGGAAGAAAUACUUUACAGAUGUUGGGAGUACCAUAAUUUUGGUCUCUCGUCUUUUGAGCAAUCACACAUGGAAAGUGCUUAUAUUCAUGCGUUGACUGAUAGACAAAUGGUACCCCAUGAAACUAAUGUUUAUUUCAUGGAUCUUUGGCAAGGACGCUUAAGUAAGAAUUCUUUAAUCUUAAAUAGUAAAUGAAAUCUGUGACAGCCGUAGUACCACCCAACACUUUUUUCUAAUGAUAUAUAGAUUGCGCUCCUGUGCACUUGAGCUCUGAUUUAUCUUUUUUGUUCUAAUAGUAGCUAGUAGCUGGGGGUCUCACUGGAAGCAGCUUCUCUAUUCCUAUGGUGUAGAGGUAAAGCUGUCUACGUCUUACCCUCCUCAGACCCUACCUUAGUUUUGCUAUUGGUGAGAUUUACUGUGAGUAUGAUGAUGAUGGGGGGGGGGAAGAAGAAGAAACGGUUUGUAGUGACAGCCGACAUGGAUACGAACAAGGUUUGUAUGGCAGAAGUGUGGCAGGCGAGACGAUGAUUACUUUGGGAGCCAGGGGUGACGACAAGAGCUUAUUUCGUGCUUUAGUUUGAAAUGUUUUGUUGAUUUUAUGAAAUGGUUUGAUUGACUAAUUCGUGUGUAGAUGAUUCAGCAGCAAAGUUGAAGGGAAGGAAAGUUCAAUUUGAUUCUAUCAAACUCCGAAGAUGAAGAUGAUGAGAGGACGAGAUGGAAUUUUGAUUUUUGUCAACCGUGGUUGCGUUCUUUAUGAACCAAAGUAAAGACAUCGCCGCAUCUUCGUCAAUAAGGUGGUGCCAUGACAUUGGUGGUGAGCAUGCUACAAAUAAGCCUUUGAUAAAAACCGUUUUCUAGGUACAUAUUUUUAUAUCUUUGUUUUGUUACAAUCUACUUUGGACUUUUCCUUUUUUCAUGUUAUGAUAAGAUUAUUUGGUCCAUGCAAAACAACAUUAGUUUUUUGUUUGCUAUACGCGAUAUAACAAUAGUAAGCGGUCUACACACAUAUGUUUUAAAUAAGGGUAAGUGUGAUAAAACAAAUUGUCAUGCUUAGUUGUAUUAGAUUUUUUCCUUAUUGAGGAAUUGACCAGAUUGAAGUUAUUGCUCUUUCUAGCUACGAAGAGAAGGAUGAACAGUUCAAAGAACAGGUGAAGAUGAUCGAAGUGAGUAGGAAAUCUGAGCAUGCUACACAAGCAAAUGGUGAAGGAGGUUCACUCGCAUAGUUUAAUGAAAUAUUGUAUUUUUGUUAGUAUUUUUUUGAAAUGAUGUAUGAAAUAUUGGUUUGUUAGUAUCAACAUUAAUGAAAUAUUGUUAACUUUGUUAUUU
rnacentral:lncRNA from 1 species